UGGAUCCAGACUUUGAUCCUGGCUCAGGACGAACGCUGGCGGCGUGCUUAACACAUGCAAGUCGUACGAGGCAGAUUUUCAUCACUGAACUUUAAAGAGCGGACUGAUGAGAGGCGUCGUGAAUGCGAAGCAUUCACCACACUUUUAUAAAGUGCUUAACCUUAAGGCUGAGUGAUGAAAAGAUGCCGAGUGGCAAACGGGUGAGUAACGCGUAGACAACCUGCCGUAAAGAUGGGGACAACAGUUCGAAAGGACUGCUAGUACCGAAUGUUGUAGAGUUUCCGCAUGGGAAUCCUACUAAAGGUGGCCUCUACUUGUAAGCUAUCACUUUACGAUGGGUCUGCGUCUGAUUAGCUAGUUGGUGGGGUAACAGCCUACCAAGGCGACGAUCAGUAGCCGGUCUGAGAGGAUGAACGGCCACAUUGGAACUGAGACACGGUCCAGACUCCUACGGGAGGCAGCAGUGGGGAAUCUUCCGCAAUGGGCGCAAGCCUGACGGAGCAACGCCGCGUGAGUGAAGAAGGGUUUCGACUCGUAAAGCUCUGUUGUCGGGGACGAAUGUGGAGAUGGUGAAUAACCAUUUUCAAUGACGGUACCUGACGAGGAAGCCACGGCUAACUACGUGCCAGCAGCCGCGGUAAUACGUAGGUGGCGAGCGUUGUCCGGAAUUAUUGGGCGUAAAGGGAGCGCAGGCGGGAAGGUAAGUCUACCUUAAAAGUGCGGGGCUCAACCCCGUGAGGGGAUGGAAACUAUCUUUCUUGAGUGCAGGAGAGGAAAGCGGAAUUCCUAGUGUAGCGGUGAAAUGCGUAGAUAUUAGGAGGAACACCAGUGGCGAAGGCGGCUUUCUGGACUGUAACUGACGCUGAGGCUCGAAAGCGUGGGGAGCGAACAGGAUUAGAUACCCUGGUAGUCCACGCCGUAAACGAUGAAUGCUAGGUGUAGGAGGUAUCGACCCCUCCUGUGCCGGAGUUAACGCAAUAAGCAUUCCGCCUGGGGAGUACGGCCGCAAGGCUGCAACUCAAAUGAAUUGACGGA
rnacentral:rRNA from 1 species